rnacentral:lncRNA from 1 species
CGUGACAGGUUUGGUGGCCUCCGGUUUGCUUUGUGAAUGACAGCCGUUAGAUCAAAACUCUUAAAAAAAAAGAUAAAAUGAUUUACCUAUCCCUUCUUCCCUAACUUGAUUCUCACCCAUUAGAUCAAAACUCUAAUCCAUAAAAUAAUAUAGCUUUAAGACGACUUAAAGUAUGUAAACCUUUAAGCACCGAGCCCGAGCCAUUCACCGAAUGUCAUCCACGAGCAUUAUACAUUAUCAAUCUCAUUUAUGAAGUUAGAGAGUACCUACGAGAC